GGUAAGAUGGCCGAGUAGGCAUUAGACUGUAAAUCUAAGCACAGAGUUUGAAACCCUCUUCUUAUCA
rnacentral:tRNA from 1 species